rnacentral:lncRNA from 1 species
GUCCUUUGGAGAUGAAAACUGCUGUGCUGUGAAUAGCACUAUGGAUGAAUUCACAGCUGGAAAAUAUGUAGGCAGCUUCGUAUUGUGUCAUAGGCAUUGUAAUGCGGAAAAGAGACAAUAAACACUGCAGUAGGAGUUUCGGUGCAUUUCAAAGUUCUUCCCACAAACCACAUCUUUGGAGCUGCUUGCUUCAGUCUUUCCCUGAGUUUGAAAAGAGUGCAUUUCGACCCCCACUUUGCCACAUCAUUCCGGUGAAAACAGGAACAUAUCUGACUACGCAUCACGCGACCGCUGCUCAAAAUGCACCAUCAUACAGCGGAUCUGCCCCGGCAGCGCCCAAAACUUGACACGUCUCCAGGGUUACCAUAAAGGCACCGGACUCACGCCAUUACUCAGCAGCAGACAAGGGCCUUGUGGUGGUGCGGCUAGCUUUGGUGGAGGAGUGCGGUCCCUGUCCUCCUGUCUCCACCUGCGUUCCCCCCCGAUGGCCUGCCAAACGUGGGCAUCCGCUCCCCUGUGCCGGAGCUAAAUCCUCAGAGACCCGGGGCUCGCAGUCUCCGCAAUUCCCUGUAUCCAUUGCUGUCAGGUACAUUAAAUAGUAAAGAGUGUUUUUCCCUCGCAGAGAAAAACAGUACUACGGUACCGCCAGCCUUUUCCCCCGUACAGAAGGGGAAGUCAGCCGCUGACCCUGACUCAUACAUCUCAAUGCACCUGUUUGGCAGGAGAAGGCCUUAACUUACCUGACC